ensembl:rRNA 5S_rRNA 5S ribosomal RNA
ACCCGUAGCCAUAUCAGCCUGCAGCCUGAGACCGGUUACUCACUGAAGCUAAGCAGGGCGGAGCCUGGUCAGUACCUAGAUGGGAGACCACUUAGGAAAACUAGGUUGCUGUUGGAA